rnacentral:rRNA from 1 species
UCUCUUCGGAGAUACUCGAGUGGCGAACGGGUGAGUAACACGUGGGCAAUCUGCCCUGCACUUCGGGAUAAGCCUGGGAAACUGGGUCUAAUACCGGAUAGGACCACUUGACGCAUGUCUUGUGGUGGAAAGCUUUUUGCGGUGUGGGAUGGGCCCGCGGCCUAUCAGCUUGUUGGUGGGGUGACGGCCUACCAAGGCGACGACGGGUAGCCGGCCUGAGAGGGUGUCCGGCCACACUGGGACUGAGAUACGGCCCAGACUCCUACGGGAGGCAGCAGUGGGGAAUAUUGCACAAUGGGCGCAAGCCUGAUGCAGCGACGCCGCGUGGGGGAUGACGGCCUUCGGGUUGUAAACCUCUUUCAGCAGGGACGAAGCGCAAGUGACGGUACCUGCAGAAGAAGCACCGGCCAACUACGUGCCAGCAGCCGCGGUAAUACGUAGGGUGCGAGCGUUGUCCGGAAUUACUGGGCGUAAAGAGCUCGUAGGUGGUUUGUC